rnacentral:rRNA from 1 species
GGUGAACGCUGGUAACGUGGAUACCGGCAUGCAAGUCGAGCGGCAGCGGGGGAGAAGCUUGCUUUUCCUGCCGGCGAGUGGCGAACGGGUGAGUAAUACAUCGGAACGUGCCCUGUAGUGGGGGAUAACUAGUCGAAAGAUUAGCUAAUAACGCAUACGACCGGAGAGUGAAAGUGGGGGACCGCAAGGCCUCAUGCUAUAGGAGCGGCCGAUGUAUGAUUAGCUAGUUGGCGGGGUAAAGGCCUACCAAGGCGACGAUCAGUAGCUGGUCUGAGAGGACGAUCAGCCACACUGGGACUGAGACACGGCCCAGACUCCUACGGGAGGCAGCAGUGAGGAAUUUUGGACAAUGGGCGAAAGCCUGAUCCAGCAAUGCCGCGUGUGUGAAGAAGGCCUUCGGGUUGUAAAGCACUUUUGUCCGGAAAGAAAUGGCUCUGGUCAAUACCUGGGGUCGAUGACGGUACCGGAAGAAUAAGGACCGGCUAACUACGUGCCAGCCGCCGCGGUAA